UGUGCUUAUGUAGAAGCUGCAACAUUGGUGGUUGAAGCUCUAACACUUCACAGAAUGGGCUCUUUGGGUUGCCCUAGAAAUAAGGUAACUAAAACCCAUCAAUGACAAGAGAACCAAAUAUCCAUGAGGCAAAAAAACAGGACAGAGACAUCCUGGAGCCUCCAGGGAAUUCUGGACAGCAAUGGGAAAGACCUGUGUCACUUGCCAAGGAUGGAGGAUUUGGAACAAACUAAGCAUUGUUAUAGAACAGUGACUGGAAAACACCUGCCAACGGAGGAGAAUCAUAGAAACACAGAGGGGAGAUUGCACAAGUCCUGAGUAAGUGCUGUUUACUGAAUGAAGGUAUAAAAUAUCCAGAACAAAAGGAGUUGGGACUCUUCCCUGAAGUUUUGAACCACAGACCAUCAGCAUGAACAAUACUGAGAAACUAUGAUCAGUUGAAUCCAUGAUUUGUCUUGGAUUAAUAAUCCUUCCCUGCUCUGAAUGACUUUCUCCUGCUAUGACUAGAUGAAUGAGUCAAAACUGAACAACUCACAGCCAAGCAUGUGAGUGUCAAAAUGGUGGGAAGAAUUUCAUCAGAAAUUCAGCAAUUAGAGUUGCUCACAGCCAGGUUUGGGGAAGAGCCAUUGCUGAAUCAGCUUCACAGCCAUGACAUCGUGUGCACCACAUUGGCUGCACCACAUCCAGAAGUGAAUUUGAAUCAUUGAAGUCCAGUGGCAAGAUGAAAGUCAAGAUGAUUGGCAAUGACCCAGCCUACAAUGGAUGAUCUUCAAUAUCUGACCCAGCUUUAAGUGCACCACAGCACUUGCUUCAGUCACCUUCAGGGAUGCUGGAACAAAUUUUUUCCUUCCUCCUUUCUCCCUCCACCCUUCCUUCCCUCUCAUCCUCUAUUCCUUCCCUUUUUUCCCCUUUCCUCCCCCUUCCCCUUCUCCUUUCUUCCAUUCUUCUCUUCCUUCCUUCUUUCCUUUUUUCAUUUUCUUCCUUCCUCCUUUUCUCCUUUAUUCUCUCCCCCUUUUUCUUCCUUUUUUCCUUCCUCCCUUCCCCCGUCCCUCCCUCCAUUCCUCUUUCCCUCCUUUUCUCCCUCCCUUCCUUCCUCUCUCCCUACUAUUAUGGGCCAGAACUUGAAACAAGAUGCUAAGUCAAUGGAAUUGAUAGAGACAAUGGUUAUUUAGCUUGGUGCUUAACAGUUCUCUAGUUCAGUACAAGUACUUAGUACUUAAUAUAGUUCUAUAAGAUUCACACCUUUGAUAAGAGACCAUAUACGUUAAAACAAGCUUAUCCUCCUUCCCUUCUACCCUGAAACCAAGAUCCUGAAGGCCUUCCGAAAAACUAGCCCGGCCCUAGGAAAGGAGACAAGACUUUGAAGGAAACUAUAAAGGAUUUGGACUUUAACCCCUGGCUACUCAUGUGGUGAUUACUGAACUGAAACGAAGGCUGCUCCCAGAGACCUCAAGAAAACCUCAACAGAGAAUAUUACAUUUUAGAGAGAAUAUUACACCCUCCCUCCCUCCAUUCCUCCUUUCUUUCCUUCUUUUUAUCAAUUGAGUACCUGCUUCUUAUAAAACAUUAUACUAGGUAUGGUGAAUGAGCAAAGAAGGAUAAACUAUCUUAUCCUUCCAGGAUUUUACAGUCUAGUCAGAGCAGAUUAGGCAAAGUAACAAUUAUAUAAAGGAGUAAAAGCCAAAAGAAAGAUGCAAAAUUCCAAAGGGAUGUAGAUCUUAGGCUGCUUUAAGAAAAGAAUGUUCGGAAAUAGGGAAGUGGUAGUUAUUUCAUUGUCCUCUGCCUCGCUCAGACCAUACCUGGGUACCAGGUUUUAUGAGAGCAUUCAUGAGACAUCAGUCAGGAAGGUGAAGGCUCUUGUAAUCAUGUUGAGGGUUAAUAGAAAGAAGGAAACAAAAAUUUAUUAACCUACUAUGUGCCAGGCUUUGAUCCUCAGGACAAUCCUAAGAGACAGGUACUAUUAUUAUCCCUAUUUUACAAUUUGGGGAAACUGAGGCAGACAGGCAUUAGAUAACUUGCCCAGAGCUAUGCAGCUGGUAAGUGUAGAAGAUAAAUCAGACCUCAGGAUGAGAGGUUCAGGAAAAGAAGCAUUCACUUUCAGUUGCAUAAUCCGGGAAAGCUUCAUUGAGGACGUGGUACUCAAUUCAAUUCAAUAAAUGCAAAUUUAGUAGGUACUUUCCAGAUACUGUGGAACACACUGGAAAUACAAGUUAAAAUGUAACCCUCAUUAAUUACCAGAACCCAUUGGUAUGACACUCUCCUUCUGAUGUAAACUAAUACUCCAAGCCUGAAAUAAGGAGCUGGGCAGAAUUGGCAAGAGUAGGAGAGAACUUUUCAGGGUUUUGGGUUUUGUUUUUUUGGUGGCGUUGUUGUUGAUGUUGUUUUGUUUUUGAAUUACUGAGUUUUCAGACAUUGUGCACCUCUGUCUCCCAGUUUUGAGAUAGAAGAUGGACGACUGCCAACCUCAUUUCAGGAUACUGGGAAGAAGCUGACAUGAGAGAAGCUAGCUAUCCCCAGCUUGCUAUACUAGAGACUUUGGGGAGUUUCCCCUUGGCUGAGAUCUAGGACUCUAUCUCUUGGAUUAGAUAAGGAAACUGAGGUCCAGCCAGCAGCGGCAAUGGAGGAGGGGGAAGAAAAGCGAGCCCUUGCUGGACACUGCAGUCUGACUUGGCAGAGCUGGAUGGAAUCAUACCUAAGUGUCUGACCCUGGGAGACAGGAAGGACCAAAUGCAAGUCCAGAUGGGAAGGAACAGCUGCAGGGGCAGAGAGAAAGGUUGCAUGCUGCAUCUGGCUCUCCCAGACCCCUUGGCAGACAGCCCAAGCUAGGGAGGGGUCAGCUGGGGACAAAAACAGCUGGUAAAUAUAGAUGGGAGAGAGGAAGCUGAGCAGCCACAGCCUUGUCCCAGGUUCCUUCUGCAGGAAGGGAGGGGAGGGUUGGUGCAGGGGGAAGGAGGACUGGGUGUGGAAGACAUUGAACUGGUGUCCCAGCUCCCCAUUCAGGAGAACAGGAUGACACAUCAUCUAGCUGCUCUUGAGGGUCCUGGUUGUAUAGUCAGUUGCUAUAGGUACAUCUCCCUUUUAAAAUCUAUAGGACACUUCUAUAUUUGUAUGUGUGUGUGUGUGUGUGUGUGUGU